rnacentral:rRNA from 1 species
UGCCAGCCGCCGCGGUAAUACAUAGGGGUCAAGCGUUGUCCGGAAUUACUGGGCUUAAAGAGUUCGUAGGUGGUUGAAAAAGUUAGUGGUGAAAUCCCAGAGCUUAACUCUGGAACUGCCAUUAAAACUUUUCAGCUAGAGUAUGAUAGAGGAAAGCAGAAUGUGUAGUGUAGCGGUGAAAUGCAUAGAUAUUACACAGAAUACCGAUUGCGAAGGCAGAUUACUAACAAUAUACUGACGCUGAGGGACGAAAGCGUGGGUAGCGAACAGGAUUAGAUA